UGGCUCUGGAGAAUCCCUGAACGACGGGUGCCGAAGGUGCAAGGCGCGUGCAUGCGCGCUAAUCUCUCAGGCAAAAGGACAGAGUGG
rnacentral:ncRNA from 1 species